rnacentral:rRNA from 1 species
AGGGCGCAAGGGGAAUGCCUUGGCACCGGGAGCCGAAGAAGGACGCAGCGAUCUGCGAAAAGCUACGGGAAGGAGAAAGCAUCCAAUGAUCCGUAGAUAUCCGAAUGGGGAAACCCGAUAUGCAGAAAUGCAUAUCAUCUUAAGAUGAAUAAAAUAGUCUUAAGAGGGGAACCGCCUGAACUGAAACAUCUAAGUAGGGCGAGGAAGAGACAUCAAAAGAGAUUUUGUGAGUAGUGGCGAGCGAAAGCGAAAGAGGCCAAACUAUGAGCAGUAAUGUUCAUAGGGUUCGGACAGCGAGCGAUAUACUGAAGAUUAGCCGAAGUGCAUGGGACGGCACAUCAAAGAAGGUGAAAAUCCUGUAGGCGAAAAUUUAAAGUAAUCAGCUGUAUCCAGAGUACCGCCGGACACGUGGAACCCGGUGGGAAUACGGGGGGACCACCCUCCAAGCCUAAAUACUACCCGGUGACCGAUAGAGAAUAGUACUGUGAAGGAACGGUGAAAAGAACCCCGGGAGGGGAGUGAAAAGAACCUGAAACCUUGUGCCUACAAGCACAUAGAGCGCGUCAAAGCGUGAUAUGGUACCUUUUGUAGAAUGGUCCGGCGAGUGAAUGUAGUCAGCGAGGUUAAGCACUUAAGGUGUGGAGCCGAAGCGAGAGCGAGUCUUAAUAGGGCGAUUUAGUUGGCUGUAUUCGACCCGAAACCGAGGUGACCUAUCCAUGAGCAGGUUGAAGUGAAGGUAAAACUUCAUGGAGGACCGAACCCACUCCCGUUGAAAUGGUAGGGGAUGACUUGUGGAUAGCGGAGAAAUUCCAAACGAACCCGGAGAUAGCUGGUUCUCUCCGAAAUAGCUUUAGGGCUAGCCUCGAUACAGAUUACUGCGGGUAAAGCACUGAAUGAGCUAGGGGCCGAGAGGUUACUGAACUCUAUCAAACUCUGAAUAGCAGAUAAUUGAUUAUCGGGAGUCAGACUACGGGAGAUAAGUUUCGUGGUCAAAAGGGAAACAGCCCAGACCCACAGCUAAGGUCCCCAAGUACAGUUAAGUGGAAAAGGAUGUGGAGUUGCACAGACAACCAGGAUGUUGGCUCAGAAGCAGCCAUUCAUUCAAAGAGUGCGUAAUAGCUCACUGGUCGAGUGAAUCUGCGCCGAAAAUUUAACGGGGCUAAACUGUACACCGAAGCUUGGGAUACAGAAAUGUAUGGUAGGAGAGCGUUGUGUAAGAGAAGAAGUCGCAGCGGAAGCGGCGGUGGAUUUUACACAAGUGAGAAUGCCGGAAUGAGUAGCGAGAAUAAUGUGAGAAUCAUAUAUGGCCGAAAGACUAAGGUUUCAGAAGGAAGGUUCGUCCGCUUCUGGUUAGCCGGGAGCUAAGGCGAGGCCGAGAGGCGUAGUCGAUGCACAUACGGUGGAUAUUCCGUAGCCUUCAUCAAUUUAAGUAAAGGGACGCUUUUGAAGAGUUAAUGCCGGGCGUUGGUAGCCCCGGUCGAAAGGGACCGAAAUUUAAGUAGGGAAGAUUAGCUUAGAGAGAGACGAGAAAAGCUUUAUGUAUAGAAGAUGGAGCCCGUACCGCAAACCGACACAGGUAGUCAGGAAGAAGAUUCUAAGGCCAACGGGAGAAGGGUAGUUAAGGAACUCGGCAAAUUGGCCCCGUAACUUUGGAAUAAGGGGUACUCAAGAAAUUGAGUCGCAGUGAAUAGGCCCAGGCAACUGUUUAUCAAAAACACAGCUCUCUGCUAAAUCGUAAGAUGACGUAUAGGGGGUGACGCCUGCCCGGUGCCGGAAGGUAAAGAGGAGGAGUGCAAGCUCCGAAUUGAAGCCCCGGUAAACGGCGGCCGUAACUAUAACGGUCCUAAGGUAGCGAAAUUCCUUGUCGGGUAAGUUCCGACCUGCACGAAUGGCGUAAUGAUCUGGGCACUGUCUCAACUACCCACCCGGCGAAAUUGUAGUACCGGUGAAGAUGCCGGUUACCCGCGGCAAGACGGAAAGACCCCAUGGAGCUUCACUGUAGCCUGAUAUUGGGCCUCGGUAUUUUAUGUACAGGAUAGGUGGGAGACUGGGAAGCACGGACUUCAGUUCGUGUGGAGUCACCCUUGGGAUACCACCCUUAGAGUACUGAGGUUCUAACCUGCGGCCGUAUAUCCGGUCGGGGGACAUUGUCAGGUGGGCAGUUUGACUGGGGCGGUCGCCUCCAAAAGAGUAACGGAGGCGCUCAAAGGUAAGCUCAGCACGGACGGAAACCGUGCCAAAGAGUGCAAACGCACAAGCUUGCUUGACUGCGAGGCUGACGGGCCGAGCAGGAACGAAAGUUGGAGUUAGUGAUCCGGCGGUAUGUGAGUGGAAAUGCCGUCGCUCAACGGAUAAAAGCUACCCUGGGGAUAACAGGCUGAUCUCCCCCAAGAGUUCACAUCGACGGGGAGGUUUGGCACCUCGAUGUCGGCUCAUCACAUCCUGGAGCUGUAUUCGGUUCCAAGGGUUCGGCUGUUCGCCGAUUAAAGUGGUACGCGAGCUGGGUUCAGAACGUCGUGAGACAGUUCGGUCCCUAUCUGUCGUGGGCGUUGGAAAUUUGAGAAGCGCUGUCCCUAGUACGAGAGGACCGGGAUGGACGCACCUCUGGUGCAUCGGUUGUCACGCCAGUGGCAUGGCCGAGCAGCUAUGUGCGGAUCGGAUAAACGCUGAAAGCAUCUAAGCGUGAAGCCGUCUUCAAGAUGAGAUUUCCUCUGAUUUAUCAGUAAGACCCCUUAUGGACUAUGAGGUUGAUAGGCUGCGUGUGUAAGCAGAGUGAUCUGUUCAGCUUGGCAGUACUAAUAGGUCGAUGGCUUGUCCU